CUACUACGAUAGUUACUUAUAUUAUUGAUUCAUCGCGUUACCAUUAAACUUUAUGUCAGAUCGGAAUACAAAUCUUUUUGAAGAGGCUUGAAAAUUUAGUAAAGUAAACAAAAUGAAGCUGUCAUUCAUACUGGGUCUUGCCGUUUUUAGUCUUUUGGCUUCUACAGGAGCAUUGCCGGUGCCUCAAGCUCCAUUGGUUAUGGCAUUGGUCACCAAACCCGAAAUGGAUAUUCCAGAUAUUGAUCUCUGGGCCAGGACUUAAAAGUUACAGGAUACUUUAGACUGCCUUCUGCACACUGUUUUUCGCCCUGAUUCGCUGCAUAUUUGGAAAAGAAUUUUUAAUUAAAACAAACAAUAUGUUACCCAAAUUGUUGCUGCUGCUUUUGGAGCGCCGAAAAGCUGUGCAAAAUUGCACAUAUUGGACAAGAGGCUGCGACGGGUUGUUGCUAAUGCAUUUACUUGGCUUAAUUAGUUGAGAUUCUACAUUAUUCAUACGCCACGUGUGACCAGCGGCCACCCACUCGCCUGCAAAUGCCCACCCGCCCAAUGUGCUGAUGCCUGCCGUCUCCUUCUUUUCCUGACAGCAUCAUAAUUUUCACUUAAUUAAAGUUGUCGUUGUUGAGGGUGCUGAGUUUGAGGUUUAGCCCGGGGAGCAGUUAGAGAGUUGUGGCGGUGCAUUCGGGUCGAAAGUUGGGCGGCGGGGGAAAAACACGGUAUUUGUACUCACAAGUUUUCGCUCUUAAUUUAAUCCAGUCUAACUACGAAAGUUUUCGAAUGCCUGGGUGGUAGUUUGAUCGCAAGAGCUGGUUAUUAAAAUAUCUUACGGUUUCGGAGGGAAUUUGAAUGCAUAUGAAAAGCACCUGGAAAUAUGCAAAUAUUUUCACUUAAAGAGAUUCAAUCCCUUCAAAAGCUUACCUACUAAAGUCGGAAAACGAAACACAAUACCAAAAGUAUUAAAUUUCUCACAUAUUUCCGAAACACAAAGACAUCUCCGGACAAGCUCACAAAGUUGACAAGCCGAGACAAUUAAAGUUUGGCAUAAUCUGUUGAUUGGCUUAAUAAAUAUCCAAACUCACUUAUCGUAAUUGUUAUCCUAAAGUGACAGAUUGACGGCAAAGCCAAAUGGAAGAAGAAAUCCUUUGAGGUUCCGGACGAAAGGACAGCUCGGUUGAAUCUCAGGUGGAAAAUGGAUUCACUUAAAUUUUAUGCAAAAUCAUUUAUCCUUUUUACCUUUUGCCCAAAUAGUUGGCAGCCCGAUUUCGAUUUGGCCCGAAGUGGUUUCUUUCGAUUGAUGAUUGUGUGUGAAUCCCCGAGGGCACAAUAUUUGCCCCUGAAUUUGAUUAUUUAAAUUUGCACAUUCGUUUUCAUGGCGCAUAAAUUAUUUAUGAGCCCAGUGUGUGGUAGCCGGCAGUUCCAUUAUGGCAUUCUAAUUAAGGCGGCCCACAGAAUGUCUCCCAAGUUCAUUGUAAGUAAGAAGCCCCAACUAACUGAUGUCCAAGGGAUGCGCAUUGGAGCCUCAAAAAUUCACCGUAAAAUUCAGGAGCUGAGCACUUCGAGGACAAACCCUUUUGCGUUGACAGCCUGAACACCAAUUUGUCGCCCUGAAAUGGACCGUGUGAAAGCCUCGGAGUGCCAUAACUUUGCCGAUGUGUUGGGUGUUGAGAUUGUCACCCCGGAAAACCCAAAAAAGCCAAAGAGACAGAGAGGAAAAAUUAAAGCGAAAUCAGGUUUCAUUUUGCGGAUGGCAAAGGGCUGCAAAAGGACGCCAGCCGAGAUGUCCUGGCAAAUGAGUCCGAUACGAAGGCGAUGACAAUGACUUACAUUGCUUGAAAUCCGAGCAGCACAAGGACCUGCAGGACACCCAGUCCACACACAACACUCGCUUAAGUUCAUGUGCACACGCACUUAGGUCAGCAGAUAUCGGGCCGAAAGUUUUACUUACAGAUAUAACCCCCCUCUAUAUCUCUGAAUCUCCAUGUCGCCGAUGCCAUUUGUGCAAUUUUAUAGCGUUUUUAUGGCACACAAGUUUUGUGCUUUGUGCCCUCUGUCGGCGUGUCCUGAGUCCUGCGUCCGUUUUCCUCUUUAAAAUAUUCAAAUUUGAUGU
ensembl:ncRNA lncRNA:CR42859 long non-coding RNA:CR42859